rnacentral:rRNA from 1 species
GACAGAGGGUGCAAACGUUGUUCGGAAUUACGUGGCGUAAGCGUGUGUUAGGCGGCUUUGCAAGUCGGAUGUGAAAGCCCGGGCCUCAACCCGGGGAAGUGCACUCGAUACUGCAGAACUUGAGUGUGGGAGAGGUUGGUGGAAUUCUCGGUGUAGAGGUGAAAUUCGUAGAUAUCGAGAGGAACACCGGCGGCGAAGGCGGCCAACUGGACCAACACUGACGCUGAGACACGAAAGCGUGGGAGCAAACAGG